GGGUGGUUAGCUCAGUGGUAGAGCACUGCCUUCACACGGCAGGGGUCACAAGUUCGAACCUUGUACCACCCACCA
rnacentral:tRNA from 6 species